UACAGAGGUCCCAAGCGUUGUUCGGAUUCACUGGGCGUAAAGGGUGCGUAGGCGGUCGGGUAAGUCUGGUGUGAAAUCUCCAAGCCUAACUUGGAAACUGCGUUGGAUACUAUCCGGCUCGAGGAAUGGAGGGGAGACUGGAAUACUUGGUGUAGCAGUGAAAUGCGUAGAUAUCAAGUGGAACACCAGUGGCGAAGGCGAGUCUCUGGACAUUUCCUGACGCUGAGGCACGAAAGCCAGGGGAGCAAACGGG
rnacentral:rRNA from 1 species